rnacentral:rRNA from 1 species
AGGUUAAGUUAAUAAGGGCGCAUGGUGGAUGCCUUGGCACUAGAAGGCGAUGAAGGACGUGACUAACUACGAUAUGCCUCGGUUAGCUGUAAGUAAGCUUACCCGGGGGUUUCCGAAUGGGGCAACCCGAUCUUAAUGAUCAUCAUCUUUUUGAAUUCAUAGAUUAGAUGAAGCAAACGCUGUGAACUGAAACAUCUAAGUAGCAGUAGGAAAGUAAAGAAAUUUCGAUUCCGUCAGUAGCGGCGAGCGAACGCGGAAGAGCCCAAACCUGGAUGCUUGCAUCCAGGGGUUGUAGGACUGAUGUUGAGUUACAAAGGUAUAAGAUAGCAGAAACAGUUGGGAAGCUGUUCCAAAGAGGGUGACAGGCCCGUAUGCGAAAUCUUGUACUCUCUAAUCAGGAUCCUGAGUACGGCCCAGCACGUGAAAUUGGGUCGGAAUCUGGGAGGACCAUCUCCCAAGGCUAAAUACUAACUAGUGACCGAUAGCGAACAAGUACCGUGAGGGAAAGGUGAAAAGAACCCCGGAAGGGGAGUGAAAUAGUUCUUGAAACCGUGUGCUUACAAGAAGUUCGAGGCCGUUAAUGGCUGAGAGCGUGCUUUUUGUAGAAUGAACCGGAGAGUUACGAUUGCGUGCAAGGUUAAGGUGCAAAGACUGGAGCCGUAGCGAAAGCGAGUCUUAAUAGGGCGAAUCAGUACGUAGUUGUAGACCCGAAACCGAGUGACCUAUCCAUGGUCAGGUUGAAGGUGGGGUAAUACCUACUGGAGGACCGAACAAGUGGGUGUUAAAAAACCCUUUGAUGAACUGUGGAUAGCGGUGAAAUUCCAAUCGAACUCGGAGAUAGCUGGUUCUAUCCGAAAUACAUUUAGGUGUAGCCUUGCAAUUAGCUUACUGGAGGUAGAGCACUAUUUGGUCUAGGGGCCCUUCAAGGGUUACCAAAAUCAGAUAAACUCCGAAUGCCAGCUAAGUAUGUGCAGGAGUCAGACGGUGAGUGAUAAGAUCCAUCGUCAAAAGGGGAACAGCCCAGAUCACCAGUUAAGGUCCCUAAAUAUAUGCUAAGUGGAAAACG